rnacentral:rRNA from 1 species
AGCGAACGCUGGCGGCAGGCUUAACACAUGCAAGUCGAACGGGCGUAGCAAUACGUCAGUGGCAGACGGGUGAGUAACGCGUGGGAACGUACCUUUUGGUUCGGAACAACCCAGGGAAACUUGGGCCAAUACCGGAUAAGCCCUUACGGGGAAAGAUUUAUCGCCGAAAGAUCGGCCCGCGUCUGAUUAGCUAGUUGGUGUGGUAACGGCGCACCAAGGCGACGAUCAGUAGCUGGUCUGAGAGGAUGAUCAGCCACAUUGGGACUGAGACACGGCCCAAACUCCUACGGGAGGCAGCAGUGGGGAAUAUUGGACAAUGGGCGCAAGCCUGAUCCAGCCAUGCCGCGUGAGUGAUGAAGGCCCUAGGGUUGUAAAGCUCUUUUGUGCGGGAAGAUAAUGACGGUACCGCAAGAAUAAG